GAUGAACGCUGGCGGCGUGCCUAAUACAUGCAAGUCGAGCGAACGGACGAGAAGCUCGCUUCUCUGAUGUUAGCGGCGGACGGGUGAGUAACACGUGGAUAACCUACCUAUAAGACUGGGAUAACUUCGGGAAACCGUAGCUAAUACCGGAUAAUAUUUUGAACCGCAUGGUUCAAAAGUGAAAGACGGUCUUGCUGUCACUUAUAGAUGGAUCCGCGCUGCAUUAGCUAGUUGGUAAGGUAACGGCUUACCAAGGCAACGAUGCAUAGCCGACCUGAGAGGGUGAUCGGCCACACUGGAACUGAGACACGGUCCAGACUCCUACGGGAGGCAGCAGUAGGGAAUCCUCCGCAAUGGGCGAAAGCCUGACGGAGCAACGCCGCGUGAGUGAUGAAGGUCUUCGGAUCGUAAAACUCUGUUAUUAGGGAAGAACAUAUGUGUAAGUAACUGUGCACAUCUUGACGGUACCUAAUCAGAAAGCCACGGCUAACUACGUG
rnacentral:rRNA from 1 species